CGUGUGUCGCCGGGCACUCGUGGCUCGGGCACAGCCGCCUGGGAGCUGCGGCUGGGCGAGGGGCGAGGAGGAGACCGCCGGCUCCAUGUCGCACUGCCCUGCACCUGCGGGCACGGUCGGAUGAAGAAGGUGUGAGCUAGGCUAGAGCGGGGGGGAAGGGAGGUAAUAAUAAUAAGGCUGCCCCUUCAGAUGAUAUGUUGGGAGGAGGCUGGAACUGGAAGAGCAACUGUGACACUUGUGAUCACCAUGUGGUGAGCAGAGGAAACUCCCCUCUCUUCCACCCUCAUGUCAGGAGCCUGUGCUCAAGGAGCAAAGAUUUUUAAUCACAGAAAAACUGCCCGUGAUUUUCAAGACUUCUGCUGUUUUGCCGUUUGGAGCUGCUACACCUAGCAGAGAACCUGCCUCCCAGUGCAGUUUCUGAGCAUGUUUUCUUCUGAAGAUUUCAAGUUCUUCUCAUGUGACUUUUCUUUUUUCCCAAAAAAAUGCACUGUGGUAAAGUGCCUGGAUGCAAAUAAAUUGGUCACCAAGAUAAGGAGUAGGUAAACAUCUUCUCUUAAA